GGGGUCUCCUCAGAAACCAGGGUUCAGAGGCCCUGGUCCCCUGGGGCCUCCAGAGGGAGUGGGAGGGCAGGUGGGGCCCGGGUGACCCCCAGGGGACACAGCUCUGUGCCCACAGGCCGCCUGGUGCUUGAGCAGUGCCAGAGGCUGGUGGCCAGUGUGGGUGCAGCCUGCCACUCGGACCAGGGGGACCAGCCGAGCCCCGUGCUUCUGAGCUGCGGCGUCCCCCCUGAGGUGGCCAGGAACGCCCUGCGGCUGAGCGUGGGCAGGACCACCAGCCACGCCGACGUGGACCUCGUGGUGCAGGACCUGAAGCUGGCGGUGGCCCGGCUGGAGGGUGGCCCCGGGGCCCGGGGGGGCUCGUAGGGACCUGCCAGCGCCCCGCACCCUGCCAGGGUCUCCUUCCCACCCCUUCCUGGGGCUCCCACUGGCCACACCUCGUCCACUGUUGGGGAACACCUCAGGCUUCCUCAAGCUGGUUUGCUGACGGCUGUCUCCCACCCAGGCCGGGUGGCUGGUUGGGCCGGCCCUGUGCUGACCCCUGCCUCUGCAGGAAAGUGUCUGGGAAGUGACCUUUGACAAACCAGCUAAUAAAAGGUCGGGCGGCCUGGCGUCUUCUUUC